UACGUAGGGGGCAAGCGUUAUCCGGAUUUACUGGGUGUAAAGGGAGCGUAGACGGCUGAGCAAGUCUGAAGUGAAAGGCGGGGGCCCAACCCCCGGACUGCUUUGGAAACUGUAUAGCUAGAGUGCAGGAGAGGUAAGUGGAAUUCCUAGUGUAGCGGUGAAAUGCGUAGAUAUUAGGAGGAACACCAGUGGCGAAGGCGGCUUACUGGACUGUAACUGACGUUGAGGCUCGAAAGCGUGGGGAGCAAACAGG
rnacentral:rRNA from 1 species